rnacentral:rRNA from 1 species
GGGUUGUGAGGUUAAGCGACUAAGCGUACACGGUGGAUGCCCUGGCAGUCAGAGGCGAUGAAGGACGUGCUAAUCUGCGAAAAGCGUCGGUAAGGUGAUAUGAACCGUUAUAACCGGCGAUGUCCGAAUGGGGAAACCCAGUGCAAUUCGUUGCACUAUCGUUAACUGAAUACAUAGGUUAACGAGGCGAACCGGGGGAACUGAAACAUCUAAGUACCCCGAGGAAAAGAAAUCAACCGAGAUUCCCCCAGUAGCGGCGAGCGAACGGGGAGCAGCCCAGAGUCUGAAUCAGCUUGUGUGUUAGUGGAACGGUCUGGAAAGUCCGACGGUACAGGGUGAUAGUCCCGUACACCAAAAUGCACAGGUUGUGAACUCGAAGAGUAGGGCGGGACACGUGGUAUCCUGUCUGAAUAUGGGGGGACCAUCCUCCAAGGCUAAAUACUCCUGACUGACCGAUAGUGAACCAGUACCGUGAGGGAAAGGCGAAAAGAACCCCGGCGAGGGGAGUGAAAAAGAACCUGAAACCGUGUACGUACAAGCAGUGGGAGCACCUUCGGGUGUGACUGCGUACCUUUUGUAUAAUGGGUCAGCGACUUAUAUUCUGUAGCAAGGUUAACCGUAUAGGGGAGCCGCAGGGAAACCGAGUCUUAACUGGGCGUUAAGUUGCAGGGUAUAGACCCGAAACCCGGUGAUCUAGCCAUGGGCAGGUUGAAGGUUGGGUAACACUAACUGGAGGACCGAACCGACUAAUGUUGAAAAAUUAGCGGAUGACUUGUGGCUGGGGGUGAAAGGCCAAUCAAACCGGGAGAUAGCUGGUUCUCCCCGAAAGCUAUUUAGGUAGCGCCUCGUGAACUCAUCUUCGGGGGUAGAGCACUGUUUCGGCUAGGGGGUCAUCCCGACUUACCAACCCGAUGCAAACUACGAAUACCGAAGAAUGUUAUCACGGGAGACACACGGCGGGUGCUAACGUCCGUCGUGAAGAGGGAAACAACCCAGACCGCCAGCUAAGGUCCCAAAGUCAUGGUUAAGUGGGAAACGAUGUGGGAAGGCACAGACAGCCAGGAUGUUGGCUUAGAAGCAGCCAUCAUUUAAAGAAAGCGUAAUAGCUCACUGGUCGAGUCGGCCUGCGCGGAAGAUGUAACGGGGCUAAACCAUGCACCGAAGCUGCGGCAGCGACACUAUGUGUUGUUGGGUAGGGGAGCGUUCUGUAAGCCUGCGAAGGUGACCUGUGAGGGGUGCUGGAGGUAUCAGAAGUGCGAAUGCUGACAUAAGUAACGAUAAAGCGGGUGAAAAGCCCGCUCGCCGGAAGACCAAGGGUUCCUGUCCAACGUUAAUCGGGGCAGGGUGAGUCGACCCCUAAGGCGAGGCCGAAAGGCGUAGUCGAUGGGAAACAGGUUAAUAUUCCUGUACUUGGUGUUACUGCGAAGGGGGGACGGAGAAGGCUAUGUUAGCCGGGCGACGGUUGUCCCGGUUUAAGCAUGUAGGCUGGUUAUCCAGGCAAAUCCGGAUAAUCAAGGCUGAGGUGUGAUGACGAGGCACUACGGUGCUGAAGUAACAAAUGCCCUGCUUCCAGGAAAAGCCUCUAAGCAUCAGGUAACAUUAAAUCGUACCCCAAACCGACACAGGUGGUCAGGUAGAGAAUACCAAGGCGCUUGAGAGAACUCGGGUGAAGGAACUAGGCAAAAUGGUGCCGUAACUUCGGGAGAAGGCACGCUGGUGUGUAGGUGAAGUCCCUGCGGAUGGAGCUGAGACCAGUCGAAGAUACCAGCUGGCUGCAACUGUUUAUUAAAAACACAGCACUGUGCAAACACGAAAGUGGACGUAUACGGUGUGACGCCUGCCCGGUGCCGGAAGGUUAAUUGAUGGGGUUAUCCGUAAGGAGAAGCUCUUGAUCGAAGCCCCGGUAAACGGCGGCCGUAACUAUAACGGUCCUAAGGUAGCGAAAUUCCUUGUCGGGUAAGUUCCGACCUGCACGAAUGGCGUAAUGAUGGCCAGGCUGUCUCCACCCGAGACUCAGUGAAAUUGAACUCGCUGUGAAGAUGCAGUGUACCCGCGGCAAGACGGAAAGACCCCGUGAACCUUUACUAUAGCUUGACACUGAACAUUGAGCCUUGAUGUGUAGGAUAGGUGGGAGGCUUUGAAGCGUGGACGCCAGUCUGCGUGGAGCCAACCUUGAAAUACCACCCUUUAAUGUUUGAUGUUCUAACGUUGGCCCCUGACCGGGGUUGCGGACAGUGUCUGGUGGGUAGUUUGACUGGGGCGGUCUCCUCCCAAAGCGUAACGGAGGAGCACGAAGGUUAGCUAAUCCUGGUCGGACAUCAGGAGGUUAGUGCAAUGGCAUAAGCUAGCUUGACUGCGAGCGUGACGGCGCGAGCAGGUGCGAAAGCAGGUCAUAGUGAUCCGGUGGUUCUGAAUGGAAGGGCCAUCGCUCAACGGAUAAAAGGUACUCCGGGGAUAACAGGCUGAUACCGCCCAAGAGUUCAUAUCGACGGCGGUGUUUGGCACCUCGAUGUCGGCUCAUCACAUCCUGGGGCUGAAGUAGGUCCCAAGGGUAUGGCUGUUCGCCAUUUAAAGUGGUACGCGAGCUGGGUUUAGAACGUCGUGAGACAGUUCGGUCCCUAUCUGCCGUGGGCGCUGGAGAAUUGAGGGGGGCUGCUCCUAGUACGAGAGGACCGGAGUGGACGCAUCACUGGUGUUCGGGUUGUCAUGCCAAUGGCACUGCCCGGUAGCUAAAUGCGGAAGAGAUAAGUGCUGAAAGCAUCUAAGCACGAAACUUGCCCCGAGAUGAGUUCUCCCUGAGACUUUAAGUCUCCUGAAGGAACGUU